GAAAAUCACCGGCAUAGCCGGUAUAAAAUUCUAUCCACCUUGUGUGCAAACAAUGGAAAAAGAGAGAAAAUUGGAUACAAAAGUAUCCAACUUCUCUAAAAUUCUUUAUAAACUCCAUCAAAUUUUGAAUAAAACAAUUUUUUAAUAAAAAAUAUUAUA
rnacentral:misc_RNA from 1 species